CCUGGGAAAAAAAUGGAAACCCUAACGUGAUAAAAGAUUCCUAGUGGGUACUGUGGUCCCAUCGAUGCCAUGCACCUCACCUAAUAGUUAUUGGUAACAUGCACACUGAUACGUAAGCAACUCUUUGCCCAAAUACUUCUCUAAGCAUGUUGCAGCGACUUGAUCUCUAAAUCAUGUGGGCUCACCUAAAGUUAUUACCCACACUCCUU
rnacentral:lncRNA from 1 species